rnacentral:rRNA from 1 species
CCUACGGGAGGCAGCAGUGAGGAAUAUUGGUCAAUGGCCGAGAAUCUGAACCAGCCAAGUCGCGUGAGGGAAGAAUGUCCUAUGGGUUGUAAACCUCUUUUGUAAGGGAGAAAAGUGCCCCACGUGUGGGUGUUUGUACGUACCUUACGAAAAAGCAUCGGCUAACUCCGUGCCAGCAGCCGCGGUAAUACGGAGGAUGCGAGCGUUAUCCGGAUGUAUUGGGUUUAAAGGGUGCGUAGGCGGGUCAUCAAGUCAGCGGUAAAAUCGUGGUGCUCAACUCCAUCCAGCCGUUGAAACUGAUGAUCUUGAGUGGGCGAGAAGUAUGCGGAAUGCGUGGUGUAGCGGUGAAAUGCAUAGAUAUCACGCAGAACUCCGAUUGCGAAGGCAGCAUACCGGAGCACGACUGACGCUGAAGCACGAAAGCGUGGGUAUCGAACAGGAUUAGAUACCCGAGUAGUC